rnacentral:rRNA from 1 species
GACGAACGCUGGCGGCGUGCCUAAUACAUGCAAGUUGAGCGCUGAAGGUUGGUACUUGUACCAACUGGAUGAGCAGCGAACGGGUGAGUAACGCGUGGGGAAUCUGCCUUUGAGCGGGGGACAACAUUUGGAAACGAAUGCUAAUACCGCAUAAAAACUUUAAACACAAGUUUUAAGUUUGAAAGAUGCAAUUGCAUCACUCAAAGAUGAUCCCGCGUUGUAUUAGCUAGUUGGUGAGGUAAAGGCUCACCAAGGCGAUGAUACAUAGCCGACCUGAGAGGGUGAUCGGCCACAUUGGGACUGAGACACGGCCCAAACUCCUACGGGAGGCAGCAGGAGGGAAUCUUCGGCAAUGGACGAAAGUCUGACCGAGCAACGCCGCGGGAGGGAAGAAGGUUUUCGGAUCGUAAAACUCUGUUGGUAGAGAAGAACGUUGGUGAGAGUGGAAAGCUCAUCAAGUGACGGUAACUACCCAGAAAGGGACGGCUAACUACGUG